AUGUUUAGUGACCACAGGCCCCGGAGGACAGGCACUCCCUCCUCCCUGAAGUCGUGGUGGGGCUUACUCACAAAUCUGACAGAUGUAGGUCCUCACAGACAGGAGAACGCAGGAGAUGAUCUCCCCGUCAGUUCUCCCCAGACGCGCACGUUUUAUGUCAAGGAACCCUCUCAGUACAGAAGCCCCGUCAGGACAGGAGAGGACAGCAGAGGGGUGACAGGCUACGUGGACUGUGGGCCUUCUCAUGGUGACGGGAUUGAGUGCUCAGUCUCUGCCCCGACCUCACUGGCCCUUGUAGCCCCCCACGCCCCCACAACCCUCACACCCACGCCGGCACCCUGCUGCCCGGCCUCCCGAAUCCUGUCCUGGGCCAGAGACCCCAGGUCGUCGCAGCAUCCAGCCCUCCAAGGUGGUGGCUUGACGGAAAUUACGUGGAGCUGGUUGCCUCAAAUAAAGUGGAAAUUUGAUACUUGCGUCCGUAUUAGAAAGAAAAAAGAGAGAGAGGGAGGGAGGGAGCAUAGAGCAGAAAUACAGACAUAUUGGGACCCUACAUGGACUACAGUCUCUAGUCUGAGACAAUACAUUUUACACCUGGAAAUAAGAGAGACUAUGAUAUGGUAUUUGCCGGAUAUUUUGGUCUAA
rnacentral:lncRNA from 1 species